rnacentral:lncRNA from 1 species
CUCGUAUAGGGUAGUAAUUGUAGGGUAGCAUACGUACAUGUAGUAGAUGCCGUACAGCGAGCAUGGGUAGAGAGCAGCCUUAUACGCAAAUAAAAUGCAAUUGUUCAUUUAGGAACAAUUAAGAUAACUUACCGGCUGUCUAUAGCGCAUGUGACAAAAAACUUGAUAGUUGGUGCUCGAAAUUUCAAGUUCGAAUUCUAGUUGAUUUACAUUUUCAGUUAAAUUUAUUUCUAAAUGAAAUAAACGAAGCGGAUAUAUAGGCAUAUAGCAUGCUACCUUUCUCUCAAACAAAAAACAAACAAUUAAGAUAAGUCCAUAAAUUCAUAUUCUUCUUUUUUUUAAAUUAAAAAAUAAAAUUAAUUAUUAUUU